AAUACGGCAGUGGGCGCGAGAGGGAAAUUCCUCCGACUCAAAAAUGGAUUAAUGGCAAACAAACAGCAUACCAGCAAACGGAUAAAGGAUUGUAAGUUUAAAAAGAAAGGCUAUAGUCAGGCCAGGGGAAGAUCCGCGUCAACAUUGGUGCGCUUUUCCAGCAGCGGAGAGACCUGCGGGAGCUGAAAGGCCUAAAAACGGAUUUGGAAGUUGCUGUUUCUGCUCGACAGGAGGCUGCUUAUGAUCCGUCCCCGGAGAAACCUCCUCUGUGGGCCUCCGACGGAUCCCAAACCUCCUGGUUCUCAUCGUUUUCCAGAAUCGAAGACAACACACCCAGGAGCUAAUCCUGAUGUAAGGAUUUCACUGAUAUUUGAAGGAGUAUCAGACAGCUGGAGUCUCAACACACAGCAACGUGGUAGCUGCCCAAAUGGUCCACUGGUCCUGUCUAGCUGUCUCUGUGGUCCCUUUAACUCCGGCCAUUAAUGAGGGAAUUGAGCACCAGUGUGACCACUUCACAGCAUGGUAGAGAGGUGGAGAGAAGGAGGUGGCACCUGGUGGAGGAGACACAGGCCUCAGAUAAGGACCAGGGCGACCAAAGGAUUCCUGACGUGGGUCAGCAUGACAGU